rnacentral:lncRNA from 1 species
CCCAGAUGCAAUUCUCCCCCACCCUUCUAAUCAACCGUUUGUCAGGUAAUGUGAGACGGGGAGCAAAAGGACCUCAUCCCUCUUCGGGAACAUCCUUCAUCUUGGCCCGGGAGAACCCAGGCAUCCCAUUGGCUCUCGGGGCAAGCCCCGCCCCUUCCGGCAAGGCCUUCUCUUCCGGCGUGAAGGGCCUCCACUGCCUGCCCGGCGAGACGCUCCUUGCUUUCUCCUCCCUGGGAGUCCCUCACGAGGCUCUGCUCCUCUGAAGGGAGUCUGGCGUCUCCCUGACGCACGCGUUUGCUUCAAGAUUUACAUUUUCGAUUUCCUUGCCCGUUUUUCGACCGCAUACAUGAAAGAGAAUCGCAAAUGCCCAGAAAACUCAAAGGCCUCCUUAGACACCUGCAGCUCCACCGAGCCAACGGGCUCCAAUGCGCGCCCAGAAGAGGAUGAAGACACGAGAAGGGAGAACGCAUGUGCAAGGAAUCUCAGGGCCAGCCCUAAAAUAAGAUGUGGAAGGGAGGACCCUAUUUGGCCAUCUUCAUCCUCUGGGCAGGGACAGAAGAAAAGAUCCUCCUCUCCAAUUCUUUUCCCUGUUGGAUACAGUCUUCCUGAAUGUGCCGCAGGAUGUAUAUGACAGAAAUAUCUUCCCAAGAAUGGAAUUCAAGCUCUGACUCCCAUACUCUUAGAGGCUACUGGCUUGGCUGUAGUCCUCCUUGAACAGGGCUUCAGAAGACAGUUAGCAAGAGCCUGGGUCUGUCUGAUUGUGUGAGAGUUGGGGUGCGUGGUUUGCGCUAUAACAAGAUCUCACCAGUACAGUAAGUUUGGAAACAGGAAGGUUAAAGAGAAGGGAAUUCUGGACCAGGACUCUGCUCUCCUCCCUAAGAAAAUUCACAGUGAUCUUCCAAUUUGGCCCACUUACACACCGUUCAUGGAUCCCAAUUUAGCUCAAACUUCUUCCCCUUCAACCCAGCCUCUAAAAAUAAGAACAUCUGGGAAUACCAAGGCAGGGUGGUAGGGAAAACAAUUUCAUGGGCUCUCUCCCUCUCCCGACCUCGUAACUUUUAUUGCUUUACAGUUCAUUGUCUCACUCUUUCCCCCACCGCCCACCACCAUCCUUUUGUUCACACAGGAACUGUGGGAAACUCCACCGGGGGCGGGGGGGGGGGGUGAUUCACGAUCUUUUGGAACGACUGCUGAGCAAUGAGAGUCUCAAUGAAAUACCCGGCUGGGAAUAUCAACUCCCCCUUUAAUAUUCUCUUCUUCUGGUUCAAUAUGGAGUCAUUUCAAGGCUCACCACAGCUAGGGUUUGAAGCCUUUCUUUGAUUGCUGCUUCCUGUCUAUUGUGCAUUCCCUGGAACAAUCUGGAGAUGAGAGCCAGGUAGCAACAGUGCAGCAUGUCUCUGGGACCAAAUGAUAAUUGGAAAAUCCCAGUAAGUCCAUUCCCUCUGGCCCUUAGUUCACAUAUGGCCAGCACAUUAGAGACCUUGUCCAAAAGACCAGUUUGGGACAUAGAGUGGGGGUGAUUUCUGUCAUUAACUCAGACUAUCUUCCCUCAAAUAAUCGAGCAGUCAGGGCUCGGUGUGCCUUGGCUCCAUUGCCGGUUUGGCCGUGUCACUGGUUUUAACCCAACCUGA